GGGGGAAUGGUGUAGUGGUAAAAGCACCUAGGCAUGACGACUAGAGUCAGCAGGUUCGAAUCCUGCUUUUCCCA
rnacentral:tRNA from 1 species